rnacentral:misc_RNA from 1 species
UGCUCUCCUAUCGAACCUUAUCAAUCACGUCUUUGCCUUCAACAAUCCAUAACAGCCAGAGCAACUUCUCUGUUCUCUUUCCCUGAAAACGACGGCGAUCCUCUCCUGCUAAGUUCUUUCCUCCAUCUCUUCUCUUUAUCCCUAUUUGUGUGUUUCAUAUCCAUUUAUGUGUUUGGAUAGUUGAAUAUGUUACUUAAUUUCCAAGAACACCUUGCAUGUCAUUUUCAUGAACCUAAAACCACAAUGGGUAUUAUUACUUUUCUUAAUUGUAAUUGAAUAUAUAUAUAUGUUUUAUCAUUUGGAUAUGUGGACUCUUGAAACCUGACGCGCCUGGAUUCUUGAAUUUGUGGGUUAAUCUUGUACUGAUUAUUAAUUUUUGGGAUAGUAUAAGCUGUUAUGGUCUGCUUCUUUUGAUUGUUUUCUCUUUUAUAUUGAUUGUAGAAAAGAGAAAUCAAUUUAACUUAAGAAUUUGGCUUCUUUUUCAUCAGACUCACCCUUUCUUAGUUUCUGCGUAAGCUUUAUUAAUUUUAUUUCUCUCGUAAUUUUUGAGCAAUUUGAUAUAGAUCCAAAAUGCUAGCGUCUUUAUAAUAGAUAUUGUAUUGUAUAUCUUCUUGAUUUUAAAUUGUUUUUAUAAGUACUAAUCAUGAUAACAUACAAUGACAAAUCAUUCAUAUUUAACCAAUUGGAGAUAAAGGUGAUUUCUCAUCUGGGUUUUCUUCUUUCAUCUGUAGUGUUUAUUCAAUGAUCAAUCUGUGUCAAAAUUGAAUGUUUUAUUUCUAAUCCAAGUUUGGUUGAUGGUUGUGGCUAAUUGUGAAUUGAUUC